AGAGUUUGAUCCUGGCUCAGGAUGAACGCUGGCGGCGUGCCUAAUACAUGCAAGUCGUACGAGGGAAGUCCAGCUUGCUGGACGGAACGAGUGGCGAACGGGUGAGUAAUACGUAAGCAACCUGCCUGCAAGGACUGGGAUAACACCUGGAAACGGGCGCUAAUACCGGAUAGGUAACAAAGGGGCAUCCCUAUGUUAUUAAAGGUUAGAAACACAAGCAGAUGGGCUUACGGUGCAUUAGCUAGUUGGUGAGGUAACGGCCCACCAAGGCGAUGAUGCAUAGCCGGCCUGAGAGGGUGAACGGCCACAUUGGGACUGAGACACGGCCCAGACUCCUACGGGAGGCAGCAGUAGGGAAUUUUCGGCAAUGGACGAAAGUCUGACCGAGCAAACCGCCGCGUGAGUGAAGAAGGUUUUCGGAUUGUAAGGCUCUGUUGUAAGGGAAGAACAGCACGGAAAGAAUCCGUGAAUGACGGUACCUUACCAGAAAGCCACGGCUAACUACGUGCCAGCCGCCGC
rnacentral:rRNA from 1 species